rnacentral:rRNA from 1 species
UACGUAGGGUGCGAGCGUUGUCCGGAAUUACUGGGCGUAAAGGGCUCGUAGGCGGUUUGUUGCGUCGGUCGUGAAAACUCGGGGCUUAACCCUGAACGUGCGGGCGAUACGGGCAGACUUGAGUUCUGCAGGGGAGAACGGAAUUCCUGGUGUAGCGGUGAAAUGCGCAGAUAUCAGGAGGAACACCGGUGGCGAAGGCGGGUCUCUGGGAAGAUACUGACGCUGAGGAGCGAAAGCGUGGGGAGCGAACAGG